rnacentral:rRNA from 1 species
GAUGAACGCUGGCGGCGUGCCUAAUACAUGCAAGUCGAGCGAACAGAUGAGGAGCUUGCUCCUCUGACGUUAGCGGCGGACGGGUGAGUAACACGUGGAUAACCUACCUAUAAGACUGGGAUAACUUCGGGAAACCGGAGCUAAUACCGGAUAAUAUAUUGAACCGCAUGGUUCAAUAGUGAAAGACGGUUUUGCUGUCACUGAUAGAUGGAUCCGCGCCGCAUUAGCUAGUUGGUAAGGUAACGGCUUACCAAGGCAACGAUGCGUAGCCGACCUGAGAGGGUGAUCGGCCCAAUUGGAACUGAGACACCGUCCCUACUCCUACGGGAGGCAGCAGUAGGCAAUCUUCCGCAAUGGGCGAAAGCCUGACGGAGCAACGCCGCGUGAGUGAUGACGGUCUUCGGAUCGUAAAACUCUGUUAUUAGGGAAGAACAAAUGUGUAAGUAACUAUGCACGUCUUGACGGUACCUAAUCAGAAAGCCACGGCUAACUACGUG